rnacentral:rRNA from 1 species
UUGAACGCUGGCGGCAGGCCUAACACAUGCAAGUCGAACGAGAAACCCGAGCUUGCUCGGGUGGACAGUGGCAGACGGCUUAGUAACGCGUGGGUAUCUACCUAGAGGUUUGGAACAACUAUUGGAAACGAUAGCUAAUACCAGAUAUUCCCUAAGGGGGAAAGAUUUAUCGCCUUUAGAUGAGCCCGCGUCGGAUUAGCUUGUUGGUAGGGUAAAGGCCUACCAAGGCAACGAUCCGUAGCUGGUCUGAGAGGACGAUCAGCCACACCGGGACUGAGACACGGCCCAGACUCCUACGGGAGGCAGCAGUAGGGAAUCUUAG